rnacentral:lncRNA from 1 species
AGAAUUCAUGAGGCCAUCUGACCUGACGAACCUGGUGUCACGAAGGUUGGUAUAUAAACAAGCGUGUUGGUAUAUGAUUGGCUCAACUUCGUAACCAGAGCUUGUAUUCUUGUGGAUGUUACAAGCGCGCAGAAGCCCUUGGUGUAAGAUUGUUAUUAGCUUGGCACGUGGCUUUUGCUUUUGUCGAAUGUAUUACAUAAUUAUAAUUAAUAUAUUAGAAAUAACAAAUUUUUGGGGAUAAUCCAAAUUGAUUUUGUUUCAAAGAUUACUAAGUCAAAUAGUUUAUUGGCAAGAAGCAGAAAAGUUUCACAAACAUUUCAAAACAUUUUACGAAGUGUUUGCGUUAGAACUUUACAUUAAAUCUACAGAUCUUCCACGUUUCGAGCCAAGGCCCUUCGUCGGGAAGUUAGGGCCCCACGAACUGACGAAGGUCCUUCGUUCGAAACUUCGAGGUUCUCUUAUAUUGUUCCGCAGGUAAUUGUAUUUCCUUCACACAAUAUUUCUCUGUCCUCGUCUCAACCUACACGGGCACCGAGAUAAUCUACCUAGCUUACCUCAUUAUUUUGCUUUGGUGAGAGUUGCUGCAUGCAUGUGUUUCAAAUCUAAAUUACAAUAAAGAAAAUAUCAGUGUUGUUAUCUCACGGAUGGCACUGAUAACAGUAGUCCCUCGGGGGUCAAGUCUCGAGUCGAGUUAUAAGCUACAUGCAGUAAAACCCCGCAUAUAAGAACCUAGAUUUUUCCAAGUUAGGCUAAACAGGUUCUUGUGUACAUCGUGCUUACCAG